rnacentral:rRNA from 1 species
UAGGGAAUCUUUCGCAAUGGACGCAAGUCUGACGGAGCAACGCCGCGUGAGUGAAGAAGGAUUUCGGUUCGUAAAACUCUGUUGUUAGAGAAGAACAGCGCAUAGAGUAACUGUUAUGCGUGUGACGGUAUCUAACCAGAAAGCCACGGCUAACUACGUGCCAGCAGCCGCGGUAAUACGUAGGUGGCAAGCGUUGUCCGGAUUUAUUGGGCGUAAAGCGAGCGCAGGCGGUCAAUUAAGUCUGAUGUGAAAGCCCCCGGCUCAACCGGGGAGGGUCAUUGGAAACUGGUUGACUUGAGUGCAGAAGAGGAGAGUGGAAUUCCAUGUGUAGCGGUGAAAUGCGUAGAUAUAUGGAGGAACACCGGUGGCGAAAGCGGCUCUCUGGUCUGUAACUGACGCUGAGGCUCGAAAGCGUGGGUAGCAAACAGG